CUAUAAAAACAUAGCCUACUGUGCACAAGUCUGCGUAGCUGCAAUACUUUUACAUAUGCAAGUUUGUAAGGACAACAGCAAGACGAAGGGAGUGAAAGCUCAGGACUGAUCACACAGAAGGAGUCAAGAUCCGAAAGCAGAAACUGUCCAACUACCAACCUUCGGAGGAUUAUUUCCAAAAAUCAAAAGGAAGACUGAGAAGUCAGGAACUGAGCUAUCCAAAGAGCUCGGUGACAGUGACGGCUUUCAGUGGAGCCAAGGCAAACUGGUAGCGGUGGCAGCAGCAGAGGCAAGUCUGGGCUGGUGCGGUACCCUAGCAGC